CAGUAGCCACGGGAAUACGAAGGGUGCAAGCGUUAAUCGGAAUUACUGGGCGUAAAGCGUGCGUAGGCGGUUUGUUAAGUCUGCUGUGAAAUCCCCGGGCUCAACCUGGGAAUGGCAGUGGAUACUGGCAAGCUAGAGUGUGUCAGAGGAUGGUGGAAUUCCCGGUGUAGCGGUGAAAUGCGUAGAGAUCGGGAGGAACAUCAGUGGCGAAGGCGGCCAUCUGGGACAACACUGACGCUGAGGCACAAAGCGUGGGGAGCAAACAGGAUUAGAUACCCGAGUAGUCCCUGUCUCUUAUACC
rnacentral:rRNA from 1 species